ACUUUUUAUUGUAUUAUGAAUAUUUAUGUUUGUGUAUAUUUUGCAAUAAUACAAUGUGUAUUGUAUACAUUAUAUUAUUACAAAAAUUUAAUAUAUUAUUACAGUAUUAAAGAUAUAUUCCAUUUGUUUUGUUGGCUUAACACAGAAAUUCUUUACCUUUUGAUGCUUCCAGAUCCCCAAUGGAUUAUCCCAUAUGGUCUCAUACCUCCUUCACUUGAUUGUUGAAAUAAUAAUCAUCAUUCCUUAUAUUAGUUGCCAGUAUGAUUUCAAAAUAUGUCAACAUCUUGAAUUUACUCUACUUUAGAUAUGAAUAGCUAGGAAGAGAACAUGAAAUAAAAU
rnacentral:lncRNA from 1 species